rnacentral:lncRNA from 1 species
GGAAAGGGCCAACUUUUGUUGACCAUCAAUUUAUUACUAUUUUUUUAGCUACUUGAUUCUGAAAAUCAGACUUGAAAUUUCUUUGGCAUAGGAGAUUGUUAUUUUGGUUUAUCUCAUUAACAGCUGUAAUAGAACUGUUGAAGAUGAUUUUGAACUGUUGAAGAUGAUAUUACUCUAGUUUGUAUAGACAUUUUGGCCUCUAUUUACUCUAGUUUUCCAGAACUGUUGAAGAUGAUAUUAUUGUGGAC